AGGCCUGCAGGGGGAAAGAGAAUAUGGCAUAUUCAUCAUGCUGCUGAGUGUGGGGAUUCUGUGUGGGGUCUGGGCAAGUAGGGACUGGGCAAGAGAGAGGGGAAAGCAGACUCGAGAGUCAGGGAGAUAAGCAGUGGCCAGGAAGUUUGGUCUUUGUCUAACCCAGGUCCUCUAGAAAGUGGACUACAAGGCAGAAAUGAAAGCACUGACACUUAAUGUGGGGGAUGCAAGGCCAGGGCAGUGAGAAAAGUUAUAAAGGAAAGGAAGGCAAAUGCAGAAGCAAAGCAACAUGAGGGAACUAUAACACAUGGCCUUGGUGGCCACCAUGUUACAAUGAGCCAAAAGGAGGCACAGCAAGUAACUAACUCAGCAGGUGAAUCUGCAUGGGACAAGGGACUUUGCUUGAAAGAUUAUAAGAAGAAACCUCUCCUUGUAGUCCACAAAAGUAGCAAGAAGGGGAAAGUUCUCUGCCCAGCUCCCUUCCAUAUCCUACUUUCCUUUGUUUAAGGAAUAUCUAUUCGAAGUUAACUUCUCCAUCUUUCUGGUUAUGUCACCUGGCACAGCCCAAGAAGUCAGACGUCACGCUCCAUUGUGUGGCAUUUCAUGAGAUUUUGGAAGUGGAGGUUUGUGUGUGACACUGGAAGGCCAUGCAGGCCCACCACUUCAACUUGGACCCCGGACAGCAGAGCUGAGCUCCUUCAUAAAGGAAAAAGAAUGGAAGCACCAUGAAGUCUGAAAUUUUGUCUUGUUCACUCCUGCAUCCCCAGUGCGUGGCACAAAGUAGCCAUUUAAUAAAUAUUUGUUGAAUAAA